UACGAAGGGGGCUAGCGUUGCUCGGAAUCACUGGGCGUAAAGGGUGCGUGAGGCGGGUCUUUAAGUCAGGGGUGAAAUCCUGGAGCUCAACUCCAGAACUGCCUUGAUACUGAAGAUCUUGAGUUCGGGAGAGGUGAGUGGAACUGCGAGUGUAGAGGUGAAAUUCGUAGAUAUUCGCAAGAACACCAGUGGCGAAGGCGGAGCUCG
rnacentral:rRNA from 1 species